AACAAUACAAAACGAAACAUUACUUUUCUUGAAUUUAUUACAUAUAUUUUAUAGAAAGAGCCAUAUGGUUGCUUAACAUAAAGGUACAGAGAAUUGCGUAAGCCAUAAAAGGAGGUUCUAUUCAAUACUUUGUCUGCGCUGUGAGAUCUCUUCGCUUUGUUAGUGAGAAAUAUUUCUAUGAUUCGUGCUGUAUGACAAUAAUUUUCUUGGAAUAGGAUUCGCUAUAUCAGUAAAUUGACAUGCUGUAUUUAUAAGAAGUAUAAAAAAAAAUAGAUUCUAUUAGAUACGCACUAGAUUAGAUUACGUUAAUGUGGUUCAGUAGUCAAAUACUAAAAUAUAUAUUCAGUAUAUUUCUGUAUUAAUACAAUUUAGUUUUUUCAUUAUGUAGGUAACGCUAAUAAAUCAAUUUUAAUAUAAUUAAAAACCUUAAUAGCCAACAUAGCGUUUUCAAUAAUAUAAUAUAUAAAUCCAUAUUAUUCGAAAACAAGGAAAUUUUUCAGUAUGGCAUGGAUUCGAAGAGUUCGAAAAGUUUUAGAACAGAUACAAUAUAAGCGUAUACCAUAUAUGUAUAUACAACAUACAUGUGCCUAGAAAUAUAAUAUUACCUUUAUGUAUACUCUGGAUCACACAUAACCUAAACUAUGAUAAUCCCGCAGUUGUGCCUGUGGAAAAUUAUCCGCCGGACCAUGGACCCAAUGUCCAAAACAUUGGCUGUUUAAGAAUUUACUUAAUAUGGAAAAAAAAAUUAGCUACACAAUUAUUUUCUCAAAAUUCCUAAUCUAUCCUACGUAAACAUUUUAUCAUUGUUCCAUUGAAGCAAUAAUGAUUAAUGUUACGAGUCCACGACUAACAAUGAUUCAUUUGGACGAUGCCCCAGCUUAUUAUGAAUUCAUCCAAACAUGACUAUAAAUAAUUAAAGGCAGCUCGAAUUAACUAUAUUGGAUGGAAACAUGCGAAACAAUUUCAUUGAGAAAUUCGAGAAGCAACGAGAUUACGAGACAAAACCGGGACGUACAAUCCGUAUAAGCAUCAGCUACGGUUUAUUGUGUAAGACACGAGUAAAAAACAAGGUCAACCGUGCUCAUUCAAGUAAGAAGUUAAAACACACACAAAAAAAUGUACGGAUUUUCUCGGAAUUUUUAAACUGGUAUGUCAUUUUGUCACGAGGUCCGGCUACUUCGCUGCGUCGUCGUGACAGCCGCGACAACGAAUUCACGAGAAUGGUAGGUGUGAUUUCAUCAUCCGGACCGCUUUCGAGCAAUUGUUGCUGUGUAGUUUCGCUUGAUCCCGUCACACAAUACGGGCACAAUGUAAAACCGUUCUUUGUUUAGGUACAUAAUAUAUACUGUUGUGUGUGUGGAGUGUGUGCAAUCGAUUUCCGUGCGCACAGUGCUAUGUGCGUUUUAGAAUAUGUAUUUGAUAAUAUUUACGGUAAAUUAAUUGGCUUCAAUGGCUUUUGAUGUAGAUAUGCUUAUCGCUUUAACUGUUGAUUCACUCGUUCAUUCCGUUUUUAAUAGCCUACGUUGAGAUACCAGUUCGGCGACCGACGAAGAUCUCUUAUGAUUUUUGUAUCGAAUGUUCCAUGAAGCGUUCUCUGAGGAAUUGUUCGAGUUGUCAUUGUAUUGCUACCACUGUACCCUCCAUCGGAGAAGAUUUGUUCCUUUUUAGCCGAAGCCCAUAGACAUCUACGACGUAAAUGCCGCCACCCACCUUGAGAUCUGAGUUCUAAGUCUCAGAUUUUUUAACAGUACAAGGGCUGCCCUACCCUUCAAACCAAAACGCAUUACUGCUUCACGGCUGAAAAAGGCAGUGUGGUGGUACCUACCCGUCCGGGAACACAAGAUAUUCUACCACCAGUUAUUACGAUGUUAUCCGUGGAAGUCAAUCGUGAACAUUUGUGAAGUACGUAUUUCAUUAGAAAAAUUGGUACCCGUCUGCGGGAUUCGAAUAUCAGCACAUACAUAUACCGCAAGCCACGAUUAUUUCAUGGCGGUACAUUGCUGGGGGCAUGCUGAUACCAAACUGAACAGUGGAAAAUGAAAUCUAGACGCAUGUCACAGAACCAAGAAUUUCAUUAAUAUGAAAUGUUUAGCUAAACAUAGCUAAUCAGAUGACUAAGCAGACACCAAUGGAGAAGGAGAUCCUUACGCGGAAUUGGCAUUGGAUUGGUCACACUUUGAGAAAGUCCGAUACCCACCUAUCAAAGAGAGCUCUGAUCUGGAAAGUGUCUGGCAAAAGGAAGAGAGGCCGCCCCAGAACAACUUGGCGUCGCUCGGUGGAGCAGGAGCUAGGGGUCUUGGGCAUGACGUGGGAGGAAUUAGAACAGACUGCCCAAGACCGAUCUAAAUAAAAAAAUUUGAUUCGAGCCCUACACCCCAGCAGAGGGUAAUAGGAAAGAAUGAUGAUGAUGAUGAAACAUAGCUAUCAUACGAUUCAUAAAUGAUUCUUAUCUACUUAGUAAAUCGAAAUAAACGCAAUACGAUACGAAUUGCGAUCAGCUGGUUACCACGAGACACGAGUAGCUACUUCACUGUGUCGCCGAGCAAAACGAUGAGUCAAUGACACUGUAAACGUUUAACGCGUUAUCUUAUCUACGCAAUUCCAUAUUAAAAUAAAUCGAUAAAGAUC